AGUGAACGCUGGCGGUAGGCCUAACACAUGCAAGUCGAACGGCAGCACAGUAAGAGCUUGCUCUUACGGGUGGCGAGUGGCGGACGGGUGGGGAAUACAUCGGAAUCUACUUUUUCGUGGGGGAUAACGUAGGGAAACUUACGCUAAUACCGCAUACGACCUACGGGUGAAAGCAGGGGAUCUUCGGACCUUGCGCGAUUGAAUGAGCCGAUGUCGGAUUAGCUAGUUGGCGGGGUAAAGGCCCACCAAGGCGACGAUCCGUAGCUGGUCUGAGAGGAUGAUCAGCCACACUGGAACUGAGACACGGUCCAGACUCCUACGGGAGGCAGCAGUGGGGAAUAUUGGACAAUGGGCGCAAGCCUGAUCCGGCCAUACCGCGUGGGUGAAGAAGGCCUUCGGGUUGUAAAGCCCUUUUGUUGGGAAAGAAAAGCAGCAGGUUAAUACCCCGCUGUUCUGACGGUACCCAAAGAAUAAGCACCGGCUAACUUCGUG
rnacentral:rRNA from 1 species